rnacentral:lncRNA from 1 species
UGGGGUUUGGGGUGCAGUUUUGAGGAGAAAGUGGGUGCAUGGGAGGAGUUUUGAGGGGAAAUGAGGUGCGGGGGGGAUUUGGGAGUUUUGAGGGGAAAAAGGUGGCUUGAGGGGUUUGGGGUGCUUUUGUGAGGGAAAGGUGGAGUUGGGGAGAGUUUUGAGGGAAAAAGGGUUUUCAGCGGGGUUUGGGGUGUAGUUGUGAGGGAAAAGUGGGUGUGUGGAGAGGUUGAGAGAGGAAUAGGGAGUUUUGAGGGGGAAAAAGGGUUUUUAGGGGUGUUUGGGGUGCUUUUGUGAGGGAAAAGUGGUUGUGUGGAGGGGUUUGGAGAGAGUUUUGAGAGAGUUUUGAAGGGAAAAGAAGGCUUUCAGAGAGGGGUUUGGGGUGCAGUUGUGAGAGGAAAGCGAGCGCAUGGAGGGUUUUGGGAGAGUUUUGAGGGGAAAAAAGUGUUUUCAGAGAAUUUGGGGUGCUUUUGUGAGGGGAAAGUGGGUGCGUUGGAGGCUUUAGGAGCAGUUGAGGGGGGAACGAGAGGAGCUAUGGGAAGUUUUGAGGGAAAACUGUUUUUGGAGAGUUUUGGGGUGCUUUUGUGAGGGAAAAGUGGUUGUGUGGAAGGGUUUGGAGAGAGUUUUGAGGGGAAAAGAAGGUUUUCAGAGGGUUUGGGGGCGCUUUUGUGAGGGAAAAGCGGGUGUGCAGAGGGCACCGGGGAGAGUUUUGAGAGGAAAAGGUUUUCAGAGGGGUUUGGGGUGCAGCUGUGAGGGAAAAACCUCUGCGGAGAACCAGUUUUGAGGUGAAACAGGGUCAAUAAAGAAGCCCCGGUGCGGUUUUAAGGAAAAAAA